GACGAACGCUGGCGGCGUGCUUAACACAUGCAAGUCGAACGGAAAGGCCCUGCUUUUGUGGGGUGCUCGAGUGGCGAACGGGUGAGUAACACGUGAGUAACCUGCCCUUGACUUUGGGAUAACUUCAGGAAACUGGGGCUAAUACCGGAUAGGAGCUCCUGCUGCAUGGUGGGGGUUGGAAAGUUUCGGCGGUUGGGGAUGGACUCGCGGCUUAUCAGCUUGUUGGUGGGGUAGUGGCUUACCAAGGCUUUGACGGGUAGCCGGCCUGAGAGGGUGACCGGCCACAUUGGGACUGGGAUACGGCCCAGACUCCCACGGGAGGCAGCAGUGGGGAAUAUUGCACCAUGGGCGGAAGCCUUAUGCAGCAACGCCGCGUGCGGGAUGACGGCCUUCGGGUUUUAAACCGCUUUCGCCUGGGACGAAGCGGGAGUGACGGUAAUGGGUUAAGAAGCACCGGCUAACUACGUG
rnacentral:rRNA from 1 species